UCCCUGAUAGCUCAGUUGGUAAAGAAUCCGCCUGCAAUGCAGGAGACCCAGAUUCAAUUCCUGGGUUGGGAA
rnacentral:tRNA from 1 species